CUACGGGGCGCUCCAGUGAGGAAUAUUGCACAAUGGGGGAAACCCUGAUGCAGCAACGCCGCGUGGAGGAUGACGCAUUUCGGUGUGUAAACUCCUUUUAUGAGUCAAGAAAAUGACGGUAGCUCAUGAAUAAGCACCGGCUAACUCCGUGCCAGCAGCCGCGGUAAUACGGAGGGUGCAAGCGUUACUCGGAAUCACUGGGCGUAAAGGACGCGUAGGCGGGUUGUCAAGUCAGGUGUGAAAUCCUACAGCUUAACUGUAGAACUGCACUUGAAACUGGCAACCUAGAGUAUGGGAGGGGGAGAUGGAAUUAGUGGUGUAGGGGUAAAAUCCGUAGAUAUCACUAUGAAUACCGAAAGCGAAGGCGAUCUCCUGGAACAUUACUGACGCUAAGGCGUGAAAGCGUGGGGAGCAAACAGGAUUAGAUACCCCGGUAGUC
rnacentral:rRNA from 1 species